rnacentral:rRNA from 1 species
UACGUGAGGGGCGAACGUUGUUCGGUGUCACUGGGCGUAAAGGGCGCGUAGGCGGUCGUGACAAGUCACUUGUGAAAUCUCCGGGCUUAACUCGGAACGGUCAAGUGAUACUGUCGUGCUAGAGUACAGAAGGGGCAACUGGAAUUCUCGGUGUAGCGGUGAAAUGCGUAGAUAUCGAGAGGAACACCUGCGGCGAAGGCGGGUUGCUGGGCUGAUACUGACGCUGAGGCGCGAAAGCUAGGGGAGCGAACGGG